AUCUGUGAAAUGGGGGUAACAGCAGCAGUUGUUUGGAAGGGCAACGGCGAGGAUGGAACGGAGCAGAGAGGCAAAAGUCUGGUUGGUUGCUCCCUGGUGCUCAGAGAACCAGCCCUCACUGCCUCUCUUCCUGUCUCUUCCUCCCAGUGUGGCCUGUGUCGCCGAGGUCCUCAGCUUGUCCCUCUUACUGGCUUGCUGGGUAACCUCAGGCAAGUAACUUUCCCACCUUGAGCCUCAGUUUCCCAAUCUGUAAAAGGAGCUGUUAAACUAGAUGGCCUCUGAGAAGCACCCAGGUGGAAAGCCUGGGCUCACAGGAACCCAAGCGGCCCAGGUGUCCCACCCAGCAGGCCCCUGGGGCCGGAGGACCUGAGGGCCUGCACCUCCUCACCCCCAGGGCCAUGGUGCGAUACUCCUGCCAGGACCGGUGCCGCUUCCUCUACCUUCUCAUCCCUCUCCUGGAGCACGGUGACAAGAAGCACAAGAUCACUGCCACCGCCUUCUUCGUGGAGCUCCUCCAGAUGAAGAAGGUGCGGCGGAUCCCCGAGGUAUACUCUCUGGGUCGGAUGGUGGAAGGCCUGGGCCACCAAGACCCUGUCAUGAAGGUGCUGUCCAUCCGGGGCCUGAUGAUUCUGGUCCGCAGGUCGGAGAAGAUGGCCAAGGUGCAGGCCCUGUUGCCCUCCAUGGUGAAGGCCCUGAAGAGCCUGGAUGGGGUGCUGGUGAUGGAGGCAGUCGACAGCCUCAAGACCAUCUUCAAGGGGCAGGACCGGAAGCAGAGGGACAGCUCGGUCUAUGUGGGGGAGCUGCUUGCCCUGCUGCCACACUUCAGUGAUUCCAGAGAGGACGUGCGCUCCUCCUGCAUCAACAUGUACGGGAAGGUGGUCCAGAAGCUUCGGGGACCCUGCACCCAGGCCAUGGAGGAGCAGCUGAUCCACACGUUGGUGCCACUCCUGCUGACCAUGCAGGAGGGCAGUGCCAAGGUGGGCGAGGUGAGUGUGCUCGGGCACUGGGCCCCCUGCCUACCUUGGCCCUGGAAGGUGUCACCCUUUAUGGAAACCAGGUGAGGGUCACAAGCCACCCAUGGGGGCAGUUAUUUAUGUCCUAUCAGGUCUGUUUUCCAAAGACAUCCACUUGAGGAUUCCCCUUCGAAAUGGCUAACUUCAUGUGUACAUUUUCGAAGCUGAGUUGAUCUUCCAAAACCCAGUUUGACACACCUUUUGUUCUGGAAUAUGUUUGGGUCCUCCCAGAAUUUCACAGCUCUGGUUUUCUCUUCCUGUUGGCCUCCAGAAGUGUGUGAAGACCCUGUUCCACUGUUCUUGCCUUAUGGGUUGGGAGUUGCCCAAGACAGCUUUUAGCCGGAAGCCCUGGGACAACAGGCAGCAGGCAGUGGGCAAAAUCUGCAAGUACCUGGUGAGUGGUUCCUUCUGAGUAUAUUGAGGCAGGGUCCCUCCCUCCCCUUUCCUGCUUUUCACAUCAGUAUCCUGACGCAGGUUCCACUCCACAGUGGACACCUCUGAUGGCCCACAGGCACUUCAAGCUGGUGUGUCCCUUUUGAACAUACGGCCUUCCCUUUCACUUCUGCUCUGUCCCUCUGGGUCCUGAAGGCAGAAACCUAGAAUCAUCCUGGACUCCUUUUUCUCCUCACCUUCCACAUCUGAGCAAUCCUAAAAAUCCUAAGGAUCUCUGGAUCUGUUUCUCCAUCCCCAUCCCCACUGUCUUUGCCCUUCGGUCAGGCCAUGGAUGUGUCUCAGGUGAGCCACGGGUCCAGCCAGCCAAUGGGUCUCCAGCCUUUAAUUUCAUCCUCUGCAACCCAUUCCUCAUCCAGACCACCGAGGUGGUCUUCUAAAAACACUGUGAAUGGUGCUAAGGAUGGAACCAGGACCUCGCACAUGCGAGGCAUGUGCUCCACGGCUAGUCACAUCCCUGGGACGCAGCCAGUCUACGGUGUAUCCCUGCAUAAAGGGUCAUGCUGGCUCCCUUGUCUGCAACAGCAAUUGCCAGGAUAUGUUCCCUGGAAGGCGAGGCUCACCAGCUCAUGGGAGGGCACACAAAGGAUAAACAAGCAUGGGAAAGGUGGCAUGCUCACCUUCCUCCUGCUGAUUUGCAGUGGUAUUGGCACAGUAAGGGCUCUGCUGAGAAAGUGUGCUUGUGGUUAUUGAAUUCAUGGUUUCCCAGACUCAGUUAACCACAGAAACACUUUCUAGGUGACCCCUGUGAACAGCCUGAGGCAGGAGCAAGCCACACACACACACACACACACACACACACACACACACACACAGAGUGAAGUAUGGCACCAUGGCAGACAGAGCAUGCAGCAAGUUUUGCCGUCUGGCCCCACUUUCCUUUCCCUGUUGUCAACGGCCAGAUGGGAUUAGCGAGGAAGGUUUGGAGGGAGCUCCAAUGGCAUCAUUACCUGUGGAAGGGGACAGGUGGGGAGAAUUGGGGCUAUUGUGUCAUUUCAGGCAGUCUCAGCCAACCUGCCAGGAGAAUCCCAAACUGAGGCCAGGGGUCAGGCCAUUAUUGUUUGUGUUUGUUUGUUCUUUUGGGACAAGGUCUUGCUGUGUUGGCCAGGCUGGCCCUGAACUCCUGGACUGAAGUCGCUGGUACUAGAGGAACCUGCCGUGAUGCAUGGAUGGGUCAGGUCUUUACACUCUGGGCUCACCUGUCACUAGCUGCCAGCCAUCCUGGGAAGAGACAUGGCCAGGAGUCAGGCAGUUCUGGCCAGUCCAGCAAUCUCCAUAGCUGGGGGAAGAAAUCCUUCCCACCUGAAGGGAGACCCAAAGGUGGGCAUCUAUCACCCCACCUGGACCCAAAAUAAAUAUAGAAAGGAGCAGGCUGUUAGAGAACUGAGAAAUGGGCUUGGCCAUGCUGCUGUCAGCCAUGCUUGAAGUCUUGAUUGAGUGCCUAAAACUACUGUCUGUGCUUCACAGAGGGCAAAACAGGCUUGGAGGGGGUGUUUGGCCAGGGUUGCUAGUUCCCAUAUUGAUAAUGGCUGGUGACCAGGCAGUGGUCUAAUGACAUGGCUUAUUGGGCCUGUGAGCUGGGCGUGACUGUAGCCCCACGGCAGGCAGGAGUAGAGAGCUCCACUCAUCAUGCAGGUCCUUCUUGAUAGGCCCUCCUGUUUCACAAGAAAAGUGUAGCUAUUAGCUCUCCACUGCUAAAGCAAAAUCCCCGACAUCCACAAUUUAAAGGAGGAAAGAUUUCAUCUGGCUUAGUUUUAGAAGUUUCAGUCCAUGCUUGGCUGGCUAUAUUGCUUUUCAGAUGGUGAGGCAGAAACAUCAUGGUGGAUAGCUGGGCAUGGUGGUGGCACAUGCCUAUGAUCCCAGCACUUGGGAGGCUGAGGCAGGAGGAUCACUGUGAAUUCAAAGCCAGCCUGGGCUACAUACUGAGUUCAAGGCCAGCCUGAACUAUGUAGCAAGACCCUGUCUCACAGAAAAAGGAAGAAAGAAAGCUCAUGGUGGAAGGACAUGGUGGAGGAAGCAGGGAGGGAAGGAAACAGCUAGAGAGACAGGAUGGGACUGGGGACGGUAUGUAGCUUUCUUUUUUUUUCGGUACUGGGGAUUGAACUCGGGACCUUGUGCUUUUGAGGCAGGCAGCG
rnacentral:lncRNA from 1 species